ACAUCUCUGCUGUAGGUUCCUCAGAAGUUUUGCAGGGAAGCCAUCCAGAGAGGUUUCUGGUUACAUACUUCUCUGAGCAAGGCUUAACAUUUGCAGUGAACUCAAAAAGUGUGAAAAGACAUUACUCAAGGAUUUAAUAGGUCUCAGCCCAACACAAUGAAGGAUUUUGGUGUAUCAAUAUUAAGCAAUAUCAGAGGCAGGAAGCUGUAACAUCAAGUUUUUUGUAUUUGCAACUGUGUAUAAUAUCUCAUUGAGCUUUGGUUUUAGUUACAGGGUAUAUUUGCAACAUUGGGUAAAAGUUAAGAUGUCACUUCUAAAAUGCUAAGAUUUUUGUCUUUGGAAUAUGGAAUAUGCCAAAGGAAUGAUAACAUCUCAUCUCACCUCAACUGAAAAGAUCAGAAAUCACUUUGUUUCAAGCUCAAUGAAGCUGGAAUAUUUCAACAAUAUUCUAGAAAGAUUUGAAAGGCACAUUUGGAGCCCAGUCUUGUGAACAAGACGUUGAUCAAGCAGGAUCAAUUGACUUGCUUUUUAAAAGGAGAGUUGAGGGUCACCAUACUUUUUCCAAUAUUAAAGUAAUUUAAGUAAACAUUUGUUCCAUUCACCAAAUGCAAAGGUUCACCAAAUGUAGCCAAUGACCAUCCACUGCAGUUUUUCUGGCUACUAAAAUAUUACAUGUGAACCUCCUUGACAUUUUCCGUCAUCAUCCUGGCUGUGUAAUCUUGUGAAACUAAUGACUUGCAUUUCUUCAACACUCCCCCCCCCUUCACUUCGCCGAUGUAGAGUGUGUUAUUAAUGGUGUGAGUUGAAACAUAUGGAGUGGGACUACUUUGCCAGUGAUGCACUUGGGAGUGUGAAAAAAAAUGCUUAUUUAUGAACUGAGCGAUGAUUCUUUCCACCUCUCUCUGUCAAGUGUACUGGCUGUUGCAAAUGACCUGUUUUCAGCACUGUUUUCAUUGGAUGAUUGUUGGGCAUGUGUAACUAAGGCCUGGGUUCAUCGUGGUCAAGGCCGUGUCCAAUGAGCAACUGUUUGUUCAGUCAAUCCAUACAGUAUGGCUCCCAGGAUGCAACCCAAGAACGUGUAGCCUGGAAAAAGAGGCAGCUAACAAUCAUCUGGACAAGUUUCAUAUCCCCAUUAUUGGUUGGAUGGCCUUCGCCCUUGUGGUCUGCAUACCCAAAAGAGGAGUGGGCAGAAGGAGUAAAAAAAGAAAAGCUCACUGAACUUGACAAAGGGUGUCCCCCCCACAGAUGCAGAAUGAUAAAUGACUAUUUAGUUGUGGAGGGGGGGCUUUCAGGAGACUAUGAGGUGUCUUGUUAUGGUAGGGAUUGUAAUAAGGUAUCAGUGAUGCCGAGGUAGACAUAUCUGGGUUUAUCUCAAGGGCAGAGUCUGAACUUUCUACUUUAAAUUAUCUGGAAGCUUGACUCUACUGUUUCUUUAGUUCUCUCUUGGUGUCUGGACUAUAUAUGUGCCUGUUAAGAAGGACUAGUUGUGUUUUCAAAUUGUAGAGUUUAAAGAUGAACAUAGUAUUGGGAUUUAGUGCAUAUUGGUAUAAUGGCAUUUUGAUCGUCACUUUUGUCUUCUGGGGGCAAGGAUGAGAUGGGUGCCCUGUUCUUGACAUUAGUUUCAAUUUACACAUGUUAACACAUUUGAGCAAAGAUUGUCAAGAUUUUUUUUCUCAGACCAUGAAUACUUCAGUUGACAGCAGAUCCAAAACUGUCCUUUUCCCUGUUUUCCCACAUGCUUCAUUAAUCCCACACACUGGCAAGACCUUGACGACAAAUUUUAUGAUCUCAUUUCAUCCUCGUCAAAGGAGAAUGCCUAGAAGAACUGUGACACGGCAGAAGUGGGCCUGUUGUCUGCUCAGUUCAACGACAAACCCUCAACCUGAUGUGCACUUAGUGGUCAUGCUCUGGUUAGUUUCCUGAAGAGUUGGGGACGACUGCGGCAUUGUCCAGAUUGGUUUGGGUUACAUCAAGGAAAGGACUAACAAUGUGAAAUACCGAAGGCUGUUAACAGGUGUGGAAAGAGCUACUUUGAACCCCCAAUCCACCCUUGCUGUAUCCCAACACUAUCAUACUUGCAAGUUUGUUCACUGACAUCUCAUCACCCCAGAACAGCUGUUGAUAUUGGUUCCUGCAGUGCCCACAGUAAGCCAGGUAUAGUUCAGGGCCAAGUGUAUUAUGGUUGCACUAAAGUGUGAAUUUAGCCACCUUCCCCCAAAGGUACAGUUUUUGGUUUUUUUUUUCUUGCACAAAAACCUGAUUAUACCGUGGACCCUUAUAGCUCUGCAUCUCAAUGAGUUUUCCUACUGCACUACCUGGUGUACCAUAAAUAUUACCUUGCAAGUUUGAUGUGGUAUCUGAAAUUUCUGAAUUUUAUAGCAAGAUUUUAAGAAUUCAUUUUGAUUUUUUUUCAGGCAGAAUCCAAUGCAUAAGAUUAAGCCAGUCAUGAGAAAAGCAUGACGUAUAAUUAUCAUGGUCAGUGGAGGAUUACAGUGAACGGCAGAUAAUAUUAUUGUUUGGUUUGGAGCUGACGUAUACUCAAAUAUGUUGGUUGACUGAUUUGUUCAUCUGUCAGUUCAUAUGCAUUGCUGUUUUGUUGGUGUGUUUGGUUAGUUGAUGAGUGGGGGGAUUGGCACCCAAUAGUUCAUCAGGCAAUCGGUUCAUUAGUCAGCUCUGGGAUCAGUUACACAGGGUGGUCAUCUUGUUCUUUGCUCAGUCAGCCAUGUAAUCAGUCACGUGAGAUGCU